GACGAACGCUGGCGGCGUGCCUAAUACAUGCAAGUCGAGCGAAGUUUUUCUGGUGCUUGCACUAGAAAAACUUAGCGGCGAACGGGUGAGUAACACGUAAAGAACCUGCCUCAUAGACUGGGACAACUAUUGGAAACGAUAGCUAAUACCGGAUAACAGCAUUAACUGCAUGGUUGAUGUUUAAAAGUUGGUUUUGCUAACACUAUGAGAUGGCUUUGCGGUGCAUUAGCUAGUUGGUGGGGUAAAGGCCUACCAAGGCGACGAUGCAUAGCCGACCUGAGAGGGUGAUCGGCCACACUGGGACUGAGACACGGCCCAGACUCCUACGGGAGGCAGCAGUAGGGAAUCUUCCGCAAUGGGCGAAAGCCUGACGGAGCAACGCCGCGUGAGUGAAGAAGGAUUUCGGUUCGUAAAGCUCUGUUGUUAGGGAAGAAUGAUUGUGUAGUAACUAUACACAGUA
rnacentral:rRNA from 1 species